ACCGGGACGCAACAGUCGCUCGCCAGACUUCGUGCUGGACGGUUCGAUGUGUCGACCGAAGAAGGUCCCGCGCGUCUUGUGACACUCUGUGAUUCCUAUCCCCUAAGGCGACCUGUUACGGAACGCCGGCCGAGGGAACGGUGCAGCAGACCACGGUGCUCGGGGAGUCCAGAGUCCUCGUCAGAAAAACAGCAGGAAACGUUGCAACUGUUCGCUAUAUUUCUUCGCCAAUGGAGUAGAAGUGGACCAAGAAGAUGGAGAUAGGAGAAGGACCGUCGCUGUAAUAGAUGACCCGUAGGUCGUCCAGAAUUCCUGGAUCGUUUGUACCCUUCGAAAGAACCUUCCCGAUAUACUCGAGAUGACGAUAACGGCGUCCACGGAGAGAAUGGAGACGAAGGACCUGCCCAGAAAGAAGUUCAUCAACUCUAAUCUGUUGUCGCUGAAGCUUUUAUUGUUCCUUUUUUUCGGCGGAAUGGGUUGCCUCUUCCCGUUUCUCCCGCUGCACAUGAUGGAAAUGGGCCUGAGCAUGGACCAGAUACGAAUGAUCUCGAUGAUCUCGCCAGCGGUAGCGAUACUAGGUCCACUGGUCGCUGGGCCGAUCGCUGACAAGCUGGCAGGCCAUCAGGGUCGAAACGAGAAGUCCUCAACGGGCCGUUACCUCAGGAUAAUGAUCGCCAUCGCCUGCGUCCUGUCCGCCAUUUUCUACGCCUUCCUUCUAAUCAUCCCCACAGUGGAAUCCGAUGGAUUGGACAGUGUCCUGCCUCGCAGGGAAAGGAGACCCAGUGUAAAGUUCAACUGCGAUCCGGCUGGCGCUGUCGUGCUGCAAGAGAGAUGCAAGGACCGUGGAUUGUGCCACAGAUGGUCGGACGAGACCAGAGUCGGUCCUUUGCUCCUGACGGGAUGCAACUACGCUUGCUACCCUGUAGGCUCCAAACGAUGGAGAGUGGAAGACUCGGAGGGCUCUGUCGGCUUUGGGACCACCGAUUCGGACGUCAAUGGGCUCGAUGGCAGUGGCGACACCACAGUUAUCCCUCUGGAGAGCGAAAUGUAUGCGCAGGAGCCAGAGGAUGCCAAGAAGACGCGAAGAUUCGUGACAGACGACAGCGAACCACCUCAUUUAUGCUUCAAAGAAGGCGACAACGUGGUGUGCCACGUUUACACCGAGUACACAGGCACUUUGCCUGUGAACGCCACUCUGGGGCAGGCCUCCAGCAACAGCAGCGAUCGAGAUUGGUGCGCGUAUCCCCUAGCUGAGUACUUUACCUGUCGAAUACCCCCUGAACUGAGAGCUAGAAUGGCGGAGGUCUAUCAGAGCUGUUCCAUCGAAUGCGACUUGGUCGAUCCAUACACUCUACCAGACAGCGUCCUGGUGGAGAGCCAGUGCCAGCAGACAGAGGACUGGUCGCACCUGGUGUUUUGGACGUACUUGGCCAUCCGGUCAGCCGCUGACAUUUUCCCGACGACAGCUGUGGCCCUGAUCGAUGCUGCCGUAGUGAUAGCCACGAGGGAGACGUCUUGUGGACGCGGCGACGUCGGUCGCCAAUUGGCCUUUGGCUCCCUCGGCUUCGCAAUCUUUGGCCCUCUAACUGGCUAUCUUUCCACUCUGAUAGACAACUUGAACUCCUUCUACUACCUACCCAUCGGCCUGCACGCCGCGCUGAUGCUUCUAGCGGCUCUCGUUGCCCUCUGCGCCGAUGGGAUGCCUCUCAGUCCCCCGGAGUGGUGGUGGCACACCAGGAGUGGCAUGCUAGCGCUUCCCAUGAGUGCCAUCAAGAGAUACGGCAGCGAAACUGCCGCCCUGGUCAUCGUCCUCAUCGUCAUGGGAACCUUCUGGAGCGCCAUGGACAGCUAUCUUCCUUUACACUUGCAGAAACUGGGGGGCAACGAGCUUCCCAUCGGCGUGGCUAUGACCGUGGGAGCGGUGCCAUCGUUCUUAUUCCUCUGGAAGUCCGAGCACCUAGUCGAUUAUUGCGGUCACAGCAAUCUCCUGAUCACUGCCUUCACCGUGUAUAUCAUUAGGUUUACUGGACUGAGUCUCGUCGCGGGACCUUGGUGGUCCUUGAUUUCCGAGGCGCUCGAGGUCUUCACAUUGGGAAUUAUGUGGGUCACUGCCAUCCUCUAUCUGAGACACUUGGUCCCGCGUCAUUUGACUGUCACUGCUCAAGCGCUGCCUGUGAUUGCGCACUUUUGCGUUGGUCGAUGCAUCGGAGCCGUGAUUGGUGCUUACAUCAACGUCGACGACUCUGACAUCGUCGAUUCGUUGAGAUUCGUUUAUCGUUGCAUGGCCGUCGCGGCAGCAGGCGUUGCCGCCUUGUAUUUCAUCUUGUAUCACGGCUUAUUGAAGCCACGGUGCCAUGCACACAAUAUACAGGGUCCACGGCAACCGCCUACCGUUGUACAGGGUGAGCAAAUUUGUCGAUAUCUACAGCGUAGCAAGUUUCAAUUCCAUCAUUCACGAUGUUCGUUAUUCCAUAACGAUCGAUAAAUUUAUUAAUAUGUUCAUACAAACGUGACUAACGUAAAUUUCUCACGCUAGCUGCCAUCAAGGAGUACGAAUUAAGUGAGUAUCCUGGAAGCAUUCAAGUGGUUUGAGUCGGCAUUAUCCUUAUUUUUGCUAAUUUGAGAAGCAGAAUCUUUAGCAAGCGUUAAAGCAAUUGCUCCGACAUGCUGUUUAGCGAUAGAUUCAGUGCAAACUGAUGCUUGGAAGAUGUCGAAAAGUCGCUGAACUCUAGAAAAAGUGACGGACCAACCUAAGAAUUUUGUAAUCGCCAUCUACCUUAAAGUAUGGUUACUUAAAAAUUGGCAUGAACUUUCUGGAGAACCAAUAGUUCCCUUGGGAGUCGAUAUGAUGCUCCCAGCGAUUCUGCUUCAAGGAAGACGACCAUCUAGACCUCCUAGGUCACCUAGAUCUCAGGUUGGGACGUUACUUUUUACAGAGUCGGUUAAACUUUUCUGAUAACCCAACCGAUGAACGGAAACGGGAAUUACACGCCGCUCAGGGUCUACCACAACGGUAUGGGCAGAAAAGGUCAAUUCCGUUAUUGAAGAAUAGGAAAGGUCGAUUCUCCUAUCGAAGAUUAGGAGAAAAAUAUAAAGAGACUGGGCGUUAACGACACGUUAAAUGUCACGUUACGGUGCUAGCGAUUAGACUGUCGCUCCUAUUGCGAUUAAAAAAGGAAAUUGAUUGUUACACGACACUAUAGCGUUCAUCUGCAACUUAACUUUUCGUCGAAAUUUGUCACCGUUUGGUACUGUCGUUUAUUUACAAGCAGUUGUUAAGGAUUUAUUUGCUCAGGUGUACUUCAAGGCGUCGAGACGAGCUUCUACGUUUACCGAUACCGAAAUGAGAUUACGAAUCGAGAAGGUAGAAGUAGGUAGAAGUACUUUCGAAAGUUAGAAAUUCCAAACAGAUCUCGUACAUGUUAUUUUUUAUUUUUAUUUCGCAUUGUGAUCGUAGAAGCCAACCUGUUGAAUUUACGUUGCCAAUAAUGUAUGUAUUACCUUUUUUUAUGUUAAGUGAUUCGAGUAUUCAAACGUUUGCGUUCCUGGUUAUGCCGCAAUGUCUUAAUUUGAAAAUACGAAUAGAUGGAAUUAGUAGCAGUGAGCCUUCGCUUGGUUUAUAAUUCCUGAGUACUUGUACCUACGUCUCCACCAGUAGUAACAAUUUACUACGCACUCUAACUGUAACAUAUUUGUAAUGCUUUUCCAUUCUCAUAGUUUUUUGUAUUUUUUGUAAGUGUACAAGUAUAUAUUUCCCCUCGA